CCCCUUUCCCGUGGGAGAGAAGUCUUUCUCUGAUCCCAUCCCCGUUCUGCCUCUGGCAGAUGGCCAUGCCUGGACGGGGCAAACGGUCCAGCUGACCUUUGUUUAUGUUCCUUGUGGGACUAGUGACUUCUAUAACUGGGAGGCUCAAAAUCCUCCUUUUGCACAGCAGCCGGGAGUCUAGUCACCUUGCUGGAGUCAGUGUUUACCACACACCGGCCCAGUUGGGAUGACUGUCAGCACUUAAGGUUUACCCUGUUUUCCUCAGAGGAGAGCGAGAAUCUGGAAAGCAGCUGAGGAUUGGUGAGACAGAACUAGGGAACUGAACAAGAGCGACUUGGGACCAAAGACUGAACCAGGGCUCAGAAUUUAGGUGCACACAUCGCAGGGCCCUGGAAGAAGGGCUUCUCGGCGCUGGUCGCCGCCUCUCCAAUUUAAACAAGGUGGCGGAGGCGUAGCAGGAACUAACUGGAAGCCCCAGUGCGUUCCUCGAGCGCCUCCUAGAGAGUUACCAGAUGUGCGCUCCGCCCCACCCACCGGUGCCGAGGACACGGCGUUUUUUUUUUUUUUUGGUUGUUGUUGUUUUUUGUCUUUUUCCUUUUUAUCGGUACCGGGGAUCGAACUCACGACUGCCUGCUUGCAAGGCAGGUGCUUAUGCCGCUGAGCUAAAUCCCCAGCCCCCGAACACGGCGUUAUUAACAUGGCUUUCGUCAGCAGCCCGCUGCUGGUAUGCACGGAGGAGCUCAGGAUCUCACUGUUGCUGUGGAUGGCUGUGGUUCUUUGCAGGGGAGCCCAGGUCCUUGAGUGUCACCUCUUGACUCCAGUACAGAACCCUUGGCUUCCUGACUACUGAUCCUUCAUCCUACUGACAUGGACUUUCUAGCUUCUUGCUGACCUUUUGGCCUUCCCAGCACAGAUCAAUGGAAUUGACCUGCACGGGUCAUUGUUGUGGGCUCCAGGUAUUCAGAUGGACUCAUUCAGGUUACCGUCAUGGUAUCCAGGCCAUUGGCUGGAUUUUCUGGGUCUUUAGCGUUGUGGACAAAUUUCCUGCACUUUCUUUGUAUUUGACUCCAUGGGUGACAAUUAUAAAUAAUACUGUAAA